rnacentral:rRNA from 1 species
AGGACGAACGCUGGCGGCGUGCUUCACACAUGCAAGUCGAACGGGGCUCAUCCGGUGGUAACACUGGAGAAGGCCUAGUGGCGAACGGGUGAGUAACACGUGAGGAACCUGCCCCGAAGACCGGGAUAACAGCGGGAAACCGCUGCUAAUACCGGAUGCCCCCAUCAGGCCGCAUGGCCAGGUGAGGAAAUGGAUUCCGCUUCGGGAGGGUCUCGCGGCCUAUCAGCUAGUUGGUGGGGUAACGGCCUACCAAGGCUACGACGGGUAGCUGGUCUGAGAGGACGACCAGCCACACUGGGACUGAGACACGGCCCAGACUCCUACGGGAGGCAGCAGUGGGGAAUCUUGCGCAAUGGGCGAAAGCCUGACGCAGCAACGCCGCGUGAGGGAUGAAGGCCUUCGGGUUGUAAACCGUCUUUCAAGCAGGGACGAUAGUGACGGUACCUGCAGAAGAAGCUCCGGCCAACUACGUGCCAGCAGCCGCGGU